rfam:Triticum aestivum genome assembly, contig: Triticum_aestivum_CS42_TGACv1_scaffold_146240_2BS
UAUCUACUUCCUCCGUCCGGAAAUACUUGUCUUAGAAAUGGAUAAAAUUGAUGUAUCUAUAACUAAAAUAAGUCUAGAUACAACCAUCUCUAGGACAAGAAUUUACGUACAGAUGGAGUACCAA